rnacentral:rRNA from 1 species
UACGGAGGAUGCAAGCGUUAUCCGGAAUGAUUGGGCGUAAAGCGUCCGCAGGUGGCAAUGUAAGUCUGCUGUCAAAGCGUCUGGCUCAACCAGAUAAAGGCAGUGGAAACUACAUAGCUAGAGUAAGGUAGGGGUAGAGGGAAUUCCUGGUGUAGCGGUGAAAUGCGUAGAGAUACAGGAAGAACACCGGUGGCGAAAGCGCUCUGCUGGACCUAAAACUGACACUGAGGGACGAAAAGCUAGGGGAGCGAAAUGGG